GGGGCUGUAGCUCAGUGGUAGAGCACCUGUCUUGCAUGUGGAAGGAACUGGGUUCGAUCCUCAGCACCA
rnacentral:tRNA from 1 species